AUACACUCAUAGAAAAUAAAAUAAGCUCAUCGAGUUGUUUUGAACAUGUAAUUUUUAGUGAGAUGACUUCAGGAGAUGAGUAGGAAGUGAAUGCUAAUCUGAUAAUGUAAUUUUGAAAAAUAGUAUUAAUAAGGAACCUUACCUUUAAAAUAUUAGUUAAGGAUACUUUCUGUCUCUCAUUUUCUUUCUUUCUUUUUUUUUUUUUUUUUUGCUUUUUUUAUAGCUUUUUUCCCCUGAAAAGCCUCAUGUAAUUAACAUGAUCUAUUAGUUUUUUUUACUACAUAUUUUUGAAGCUUUAUAAUUAAUAAAGUGAACUUGUUAAAAAAUUACUUGUCAGGAUUUCCCUAGAUAGAAAUAUUAAUGAGUUUAAUUUUUUUUUUUUUUUGGUGGAUCACAACCUAAACCCAAAGUGUCAAAUGGUCCUGCUGCUCUGGGCACAUCCUGACACUCAGGCAUAGAACUGUGUUUGAUUAUGAUCUUUAAUAUUAUCACUAGAGGGUAUCUCAAGACAGACUAUUUGGGUAACAUUUUCAAGACGUUACAGAAAGGCAUUUUUGUGAAAUAGGGAAUAGUUAUCACAGGAAUGAAAACAACUAUAAUUUGCAAAGUGGUUAAAAAACAACACCUUGUUCAGCCUGAGGAGGGUGUGGAAGGCAGAAAGUACAAGCCCGCUUCAAAUGCCUUGAUCAGUGUCAGAAGUAAUUACCUUCAGAGAUGCUUUAGUUCUUUAUAUUCAUCAACCCAGCCAUCUAGUUCUCCCCUAGGAGUUGCUGCUCUGAAUUAUUCCUCAGUGCCAAAUGCCUAUUUUUUUUCUAGAUAGUGGGUGAAAUGUACAAGGGUGAAACCUGAAACUUGUGGUUUACAAACACAAAUAAUUGUAGCUUUUUUGGUUCAUUUUAGUUUUCUUAAUCUACAUUAUUUAAGGGCAUAAUAUGAUGUUUUAAUAUAAUUAUUUAUAGUGAAGUGGUUCUUAUAGUCAAGCAAAUUAAGAUAUUAUUUCCUCACAUAGUUACCCUUUAAAUACAAGUAUUUCUAGUGGAAUCUUCAGAGUCUUACAAGUAGAGCCAAUGUAGAAAGCAGCAAGUGUUGCCUGUUGAGCCGUACAACACUGAUAGCCAUUUCUCUUCCCUGUCUACUUUGAACUGCUUGUUUAGUACCUGGGAAACACAUCUACUUCUUUAGAACAAUUUUAAAGUGUAAUUGCUUAAAACAGAUAUGCUCCCACACAUCUUUGGUAUUAAAACACUUCUGAAACUAUUCCAAACAAUACAAAAGAGGGAAUCCUUCCCAGAUCAUUUUAGGAGACCAACAUCAUCCUGAUACCAAAACCCAGCAAAGACUCAGCAAAAAAAGAAAACUUCAGGCCAAUAUCCAUGAUGAACAUAGAUAGAUGCAAAAAUCUUCAAUAAAAUACUGGCAAACCAACUGCAACAGCACAUCAAAAAGCUUAUCCAUCACGAUCAAGUAGGCUUCAUUCCAGGGAUGCAAGGCUGGUUCAACAUACACAAAUCUAUAAACAUAAUCCACCACGUAAAUAGAACCAAAGACAAAAACCACACGAUUAUCUAAAUAGAUGCAGAGAAGGCCUUUGACAAAAUUCAGCAGCUCUUUAUGCUAAAAACUCUCAAUAAACUAGGUACUGAGGAACAUAUCUCACAACAAUAAAAACUAUUUACAACAAACCUACAGCCAAUAUCAUACUGAAUGGGCCAAAACUGGAAGCAUUCCCUUUGAAAUCUGGCACUAGACAAGGAUGCCCUCUCUCACCACUCCUAUUCAAUAUAGUGUUGGAAGUUCUAGCCAGAGCAAUCGGGCAAGAAAAAGAAAUAAAGCGUACUCAGUUAGGAAAGGAGGAAGUCAAAUUGUCUCUAUUUGCAGAUGACAUGAUUGUAUAUUUAGAAGACCCCAUCGUCUCAGCCCAAAAUCUCCUGAAACUGAUAAGCAACUUCAGCAUAGUCUCAGGAUACAAAAUCAAUGUGCAGAAAUCACAAGCAUUUCUAUACACCAAUAACAGACUAACAGAGAGCCAAAUCAUAAGCAAACUCCCAUUCACAGUUGCUACAAAGAGAAUAAAAUACCUAGGAAUACAACUAACAAAGGAUGUAAAGGACCUCUUCAAGGAGAACUACAAACCACCGCUCAACAAAAUGAGAGGACACAAACAGGUGGAGAAACAUUCCAUGCUCAUGGCUAGGAAGCAUCAAUAUCAUGAAAAUGGCAAUAUUGCCCAAAGUAAUUCAUAGAUUCAAUGCUAUCCCCAUCAAGCCUUCUUGAUCCCCAAUGGCCUUCUUCACAGAACUGGAAAAAACCACCUUAAACUUCAUAUGGAACCAAAAGAGAGCCCACAUAGCCAAGACAAUCCUAAGCAAAAAGAGCAAAGCUGGAGGCAUCACACUACAUGAUUUCAAACUAUACUACAAGUCUACAGUAAUCAAAACAGCAUGCUACUCUUACCAAAACAGAGAUGUAGACCAAUGGAACGGAACAGAGGCCUCAGAGGCAACGCCACACAUCUAAAACCAUCUGAUCUUUGACAAAUCUGACAAAAACAAGCAAUGGGGAAAGAAUUCCCUGUUUAAUAAAUGGUGUUGGUAAAACUGGCUAGCUAUGUGCAGAAAGCGGAAACUGGCCCCCUUCCUGACAUCUUACACUAAAAUUAACUCCAGACAGAUUAAAGAUCUAAACAUAAGACCUAACACCAUAAAAACCCAAGAAGAAAACCUAGGCAAAACCAUUCAGGACAUAAGCAUAGGCAAGGACGUCAUGACUAAAACACCAAAAGCAUUGGCAACAAAAGCCAAAAUAGACAAAUGGGAUCUAAUUAAACUCCAGAGCUUCCACACAGCAAGAAACAAUCAUUAGGACCAGGAAUUAACAGAAUGGGAAAAAUUUUUGCAGUCUACCCAUCUGAUAAAGGGCUAAUAUCAAGAAUCUACAAAGAGCUGAAACAGAUUUACAAGAAAAAAACAUUCAUCCAAAAGUGGCAGACAUUUUUCAAAAGACGACAUAUGUGAGGCCAACAAACACAUAAAAACAAUGCUCAUCUUCACUGAUAAUUAGAGAAAUGCAAAUCAAAACCACAUCGAGAUACUACCUCAUGCUGGUUAGAAUGGCGAUCAUUAAAAAAUCUGGAGACAACAGAUACUGGAAAGAAUGUGGAGAAAUAGGAACACUUUUACACUGUUGGUGGGAGUGUAAACUAGUUCAGCCAUUGUGGAAGACAGUGUGGUGCUUCCUCAAGGACCUAGAAAUCGAAAUUCCAUUUGACCCAGCAAUCUCGUUACUGUGUAUAUACCCAAAGGAUUAUAAAUCAUUCUACUUUAAAGACACAUGCCCAAGUAUAUUCAUUGCAGCCCUGUUUACAAUAGCAAAGACCGGCUGGGUGCAUGGCUCCCGCCUGUAAUCCCAGCACUUUGGGAGGCAGAGGAGGGUGGAUCACGAGGUCAAGAGAUAGAGACCAUCCUGGUCAACAUGUGAAACCCCGUCUCUACUAAAAAUAAAAAAAAUUAGCUGGGCAUGGUGGCAUGUGCCUAUAAUCCCAGCUACUCAGGAGACUGAGGCAGGAGAAUUGCCUGAACCCAGGAGGCGGAGGUUGCAGUGAGCCGAGAUUGUACCACUGCACUCCAGCCUGGAGCCUGGCAGCAGAGUGAGACUCUGUCUCAAAAAAAUAAAUAAAUAAAUAAAUAAAUCCUGGAGGAAAACUAGGUAAUACUCUUCUGGACAUCACACUUCUUAAUUAAUGUAUGGAUAAAUCUUCAAAAGCAAUUGCAAGAAUCACAAAAAAUUGACAAGUGUGACCUAAUUAAGCUAAAGAGCUUCUGCACACAUGAGAAACUAUCAAGGGAAUGUACAGACUCCUACAGAAUGGAAGAAAAUAUUCACAAACUAUGCAUACAGCAAAGGCCUAUUACCCAGAAUCCAAAAGGGACUUAAGUCAACAAGCAAAAAAUAAAUAACCCCAUUAAAAAUGGGCAAAUGACAUAACAGACACUUUUCAAAAGAACACAUAUAAGUGGCCAAGAAACAACAUAUUAGCAAAUGCUUACCAUUGCUAACCAUCAGAGAAGUGCCAAACAAAACAUCAGUGAAACACCAUCUCACACCAGGCAGAAUGACUUUGUUAAAAAGUCAAAAAUAAAAACAACAACAACAAUAAUAAUAAUAAAACAGAGUUGGGGAGGCUGUGGAGAAAAGGGAACAAUUACACACUGUUGGUGGUAAUGAAGAUUAGUCCAGCUACUAUGGUGAGCAGUUUGGAAAUUAAGCUAAGAAUGGGCCGCCGCCGCCGCCGCUGCCGCCGCGCUCUCGCUUUGCCCGCCGCCGCCUAAGCAGGGCCGGGGCCGGGGCCAGCCACCGCCGCCGCUGCCGGGAUGCCGCGGGUGUAUAUCGGCCGCCCGAGCUGCCAGGCCCGGGAGCACGAUGUGGAGCGCUUCUUUAAGGGCUACGGGAAGAUCCUGGAGGUGGAUCUGAAGAACCGAUAUGGUUUUGUGGAGUUUGAUGACCUGCCUGAUGCAGAUGAUGCUGUUUAUGAACUGAAUGGCAAAGACCUUUGUGGUGAGCGAGUAAUUGUGGAGCAUGCCCGCGGCCCACGGCGAGAUGGCAGUUAUGAUGCUGGGCGCAGUGGAUAUGGUUAUAGAAGAAGUGGCCGAGAUAAAUAUGGCCCUCCUACUCGCACAGAGUACAGGCUUAUUGUGGAGAAUUUGUCAAGUCGGUGCAGCUGGCAAGACCUAAAGGAUUAUGUGCGUCAGGCAGGAGAAGUGACUUCUGCAGAUGCUCAGAAGGGACGCAAAAAGGAAGGAGUGAUUGAAUUUGUAUCUUAUUCUGAUGUGAAAAGAGCUUUGGAAAAGUUGGAUGGAACUGAAGUCAAUGGCAGAAAAAUCCGAUUAGUUGAAGACAAGCCAGGUUCCAGAUGACACCGGUCCUACUCCAGGAGCCGGAGCCAUUCGAGAUCUCGCUCUCGAAGCAGACAUUCCCGUAAGAGCAGAAGCCGAAGUGAAAGCAGCAAAGCAGCCAUUCUAAGAGUAGAUCCCGGUCCAGGGCAGGCUCCCACUCACGGAGCAAGAGCCGGAGCCGAAGCCAGAGUCAGAGCCGGAGCCGAAGCCAGAGUCGGAGCUGGAGCAAGAUGGAGAAAAGCAGGAGCCCAGCAAGGACAAGAGCUGCAGCCGCAGUCGCAGCGUCGGCAAGAGCCGAAGCAAAAGCAAAGACCAACCCGAAGAGAAGAUCCAAAACAAUGACAAUGCUGGGAAACCUAAGAGCCGGAGUCCUCGCAGGCAUAAAAGUAAGAGCAAAAGUCGGAGCAGGAGUCAGGAGAGGAGAGUGGAGGAGGAGAAGCGAGGGAGUUUGAGCAGGGGCAGGAGCCAGGAGUAGGGCAGGGGCCAGAAGAGCCUCCGCCAGAGUCGGAGCCGGAGCAGGAGCAAAGGGGGUAGCAUGGCAUGAGCGGGAGUAGGAGCCACAGCAAGAGCAGGACAAGAGGAAGGGCAGGAAGAGAAGCAGGGAGGAGAGCCGCAGACGCAGCCUCAGCCAUAGCAAGAGAGGAGCAGAAAGCGAGGCAGCAAGCGAGACAGCAAGACGGGCAGCAGCAAGAAGAAGAAAAAGGAAGACACUGACCGCUCGCAGUCCAGAUCGCCAUCCCGCUCUGUUUCAAAGGAGCGGGACCAUGUCAAGUCUGAAUCCAGCCAGAGGGAAGGCGGAGGGGAGAGUGAGAAUGCUGGCACCAAUCAGGAGACCCGGUCCAGGUCGAGAUCCAAUUCCAAAUCGAAGCCAAAUCUUCCAUCAGAAUCACGCUCCAGAUCAAAGUCAGCUUCAAAAACCCGAUCUCGGUCCAAGUCUCGAUCCGGGUCUGCUUCCAGAUCACCCUCCCGGUCUAGAUCUAGGUCCCACUCAAGGUCCUAACUGGCCACGACCACAGCUGGAACUACCCGAGGAGUCUUUUGUACACGUUUGGUAGCCGUAGCACAUGUGAUUGGAGUAGAACAUGUCACUGCUGUACAUUUUUAACUCCCCAAUGGUGUGUCUAUAAUUGUUCAAUCUGAGUGCUUCCUCUCAGUAAAGCCUCCUGGCGCCAGGCCUUCCUGCUCCACUGAAAAAAAAAAAAAAUUUCUCUUUUGAAAAAAUCCCCUUUUACUCAUGGCCCACAGUAGAAUAUCCAAAACGCCUUGACUUUCAGGCCUGGCCUUUCCUACAGGGAGCUCAGUAACGUGGACGGCUCUAAGGCUGGAGGUAGGUAGGUAUGGUGAGUUCAACCAUUUUUGCUCUUGAAUUGAUGCCCUUCGAUGUGUGCCAUGUAGUGAAAGUGCUAACUCUUAAGUUUCCGACCACUUUGGUUUCAUAUUUUUGGACUUAACAAAGUUGUGAAUAGCACAGCCAAGGAAAAUUGAUACCUGCAGUAACCCAUAGGAAAUAAACUGUCGAGUUCCAUAGUCUGGUAUUGUGAUUAUAUUGUUUUAUAUUAAAAAAGAAAAGAAAAGAAUUUUUUUUAAUUUUAUCUUUCCCUAUCUUGCAAAAUAUAGUGACCCCUGUUUCCAUUAAAUUUGAAUAAAGACAAAAAAAAAAAAGAACUAAGAAUGACCAUUGGAUGCAGUAACCCCAUUACUAUACUAGGUGUAUACCUAAAGGAAAAUAAUUCAUUGUAAGAAAAGGAAGCAGGCACGUGCAGGUUCAUUGCAGCACUGUUCACAAUAGCAAAGACAUGGAGUAAACCCAGGUGCAUCCAACAUAGAUUAAAAAUCCAAGGUAGAUUGGAAAAUGGCAUAUAUACUAUGGAAUACAGUGCAACCAUAAAAAGAACAAAAUCGUGUCCUUUGCAGCAACAUGGAUACAGCUGGAAUCCACCAUCCUAAGCAAACUAAUGCAGAAACACAAACCAAAUAUCUCACGUUUUCACUCAUGUGGGAGCUACACAUUGGGUUCACAUUGUCAUAACAUGGGAACAAUAGACACAGGGAAAUAAGAAUGGGGAGGGACAGAGUGGGCCAGGACUAAAAUCUACUUAUUGGGUCCUACCCUCACUACGUUUGUGAUGGGUUCAAUUGUACUUCAACCCUCGGCAUCCCUCAAGAUACCUUUGGAAGAAACCUUCACAGGUACCACCUUAAUUUAGAAUGCAACGUAGAAAAAAAAAAAAGAAAAAUUUACUAUACAAAAAGUUUAAGUAGAGAAUAAAAUUUUUUUUAAGAAACAAUUUAUUGAAGUAAAAAAUAGGGCCAGGCGCAGUGGCUCAAGCCUGUGAUCCCAGCACUUUGGGAGGCCGAGGCGGGUGGAUCAUGAGGUCAAGAGAUCGAGGCCAUCCUGCUCAACACGGUGAAACCCUGUCUCUACUAAAAGUACAAAAAAUUAGCUGGGCAUGGUGGUGCGUAAUCCCAGCUACUCAGGAGGCUGAGGCAGGAGAAUUGCCUGAACUCAGGAGGUGGAGGUUGCGGUGAGCCAAGAUUGCGCCAUUGCACUCCAGCCUGGGUAACAAGAGCGAAACUCUGUCUCAAAAAAAAAAAAGAAGUAAAAAAUAGAUUAAACUUUUAUAAACUUAGCAGAGCUUUGUCAAGAAUUUCAAAGCGAUGCAUUCAAUGCAAAAUGUGGCUUUAUUUGUUUAAUAUUUGUACUAAUAAAACAGCACAUUUCUAAAAUUAUGUAUAUGCAACAGACCAAUAUUAAAUGUAUUUUUGUCAUAUAAAUCUAAACAGCAUUACACAGAUACAUCCUCUAUUGUCUAAACUUAAAAUAAAUAGAAAUUUUACUUUAUUUAUAUGAUUAUUUUUCUAUUUAAGCAAACUUCAAGUUAUGUCUAGUCAGUAAAAAUACUAAAGGCCACAUUUUGUAAGUGAUAUGUUAUUCUCAUAAUGGCUU